rnacentral:pre_miRNA from 1 species
UCCACCAGCAGGCAGCCACAGUCUGCCUGCACGUGUGACCCUGGGGUGCAGGAAAAACUGCACCCCAGGGUCACACGUGCAGGCAGACUGUGGCUGCCUGC